UGCCAGACUCCUACGGGAGGCAGCAGUGAGGAAUAUUGGUCAAUGGCCGAGAGGCUGAACCAGCCAAGUCGCGUGAGGGAAGAAUGUCCUAAGGGUUGUAAACCUCUUUUGUCGGGGAGCAAAAAGGCUCUGCGGAGUCGUAUUGAGAGUACCCGGAGAAAAAGCAUCGGCUAACUCCGUGCCAGCAGCCGCGGUAAUACGGAGGAUGCGAGCGUUAUCCGGAUUUAUUGGGUUUAAAGGGUGCGUAGGCGGACGCUUAAGUCAGCGGUAAAAUUGCGGGGCUCAACCUCGUCGAGCCGUUGAAACUGGGUGCCUUGAGUGGGCGAGAAGUACGCGGAAUGCGUGGUGUAGCGGUGAAAUGCAUAGAUAUCACGCAGAACUCCGAUUGCGAAGGCAGCGUACCGGCGCCCAACUGACGCUGAAGCACGAAAGCGUGGGUAUCGAACAGGAUUAGAUACCCCAGUA
rnacentral:rRNA from 1 species